rnacentral:rRNA from 1 species
AAAUCGUACCCCAAACCGACACAGGUGGUCAGGUAGAGAAUACCAAGGCGCUUGAGAGAACUCGGGUGAAGGAACUAGGCAAAAUGGUGCCGUAACUUCGGGAGAAGGCACGCUGGUGUGUAGGUGAAGUCCCUGCGGAUGGAGCUGAGACCAGUCGAAGAUACCAGCUGGCUGCAACUGUUUAUUAAAAACACAGCACUGUGCAAACACGAAAGUGGACGUAUACGGUGUGACGCCUGCCCGGUGCCGGAAGGUUAAUUGAUGGGGUUAUCCGUAAGGAGAAGCUCUUGAUCGAAGCCCCGGUAAACGGCGGCCGUAACUAUAACGGUCCUAAGGUAGCGAAAUUCCUUGUCGGGUAAGUUCCGACCUGCACGAAUGGCGUAAUGAUGGCCAGGCUGUCUCCACCCGAGACUCAGUGAAAUUGAACUCGCUGUGAAGAUGCAGUGUACCCGCGGCAAGACGGAAAGACCCCGUGAACCUUUACUAUAGCUUGACACUGAACAUUGAGCCUUGAUGUGUAGGAUAGGUGGGAGGCUUUGAAGCGUGGACGCCAGUCUGCGUGGAGCCAACCUUGAAAUACCACCCUUUAAUGUUUGAUGUUCUAACGUUGGCCCCUUACCGGGGUUGCGGACAGUGUCUGGUGGGUAGUUUGACUGGGGCGGUCUCCUCCCAAAGCGUAACGGAGGAGCACGAAGGUUAGCUAAUCCUGGUCGGACAUCAGGAGGUUAGUGCAAUGGCAUAAGCUAGCUUGACUGCGAGCGUGACGGCGCGAGCAGGUGCGAAAGCAGGUCAUAGUGAUCCGGUGGUUCUGAAUGGAAGGGCCAUCGCUCAACGGAUAAAAGGUACUCCGGGGAUAACAGGCUGAUACCGCCCAAGAGUUCAUAUCGACGGCGGUGUUUGGCACCUCGAUGUCGGCUCAUCACAUCCUGGGGCUGAAGUAGGUCCCAAGGGUAUGGCUGUUCGCCAUUUAAAGUGGUACGCGAGCUGGGUUUAGAACGUCGUGAGACAGUUCGGUCCCUAUCUGCCGUGGGCGCUGGAGAAUUGAGGGGGGCUGCUCCUAGUACGAGAGGACCGGAGUGGACGCAUCACUGGUGUUCGGGUUGUCAUGCCAAUGGCACUGCCCGGUAGCUAAAUGCGGAAGAGAUAAGUGCUGAAAGCAUCUAAGCACGAAACUUGCCCCGAGAUGAGUUCUCCCUGAGACUUUAAGUCUCCUGAAGGAACGUUAAAGACGAUGACGUUGAUAGGCCGGGUGUGUAAGCGCAGCGAUGCGUUGAGCUAACCGGUACUAAUGAACCGUGAGGCUUAACCUUACAACGCCGAAG